rnacentral:rRNA from 1 species
AUGGAGGAGGAGAAGGAGAGCGGCGACGGGGAGAGGGCGAGGGAAGGGGAACCGCGGAGGCUUGAGAAGACGAACACAUCUGCGGCCAGCAAUGGCAGCAUCGAACUGGAUCUUCUUGACUGCACCAUCUGCAUGGAUCCCCUCCGCCCUCCGGUCCGGUCCUCCAGCCUACCCAACAAGGACAGCUGCCACAUGUGUACGGCCACCGGUGGUUACAGUCGGUGCAUCGCGCUCGACAAAAUCCUGGAGUCAUUUUGUGUUCCCUGCUCCAAUGCCGUGUAUGGUUGCACUGUGAAGACACUCUACUACAAGGCUGAAGAUCAUCACAAUUCGUGCCCACAGGUGCCAUGUUUCUGCCCAGGACACGCCUGCAGCUUCGCCGGCACAACCGUCAAUCUCCUGGCUCAUCUCACCGGCGACCACAAAUGGAAAUCCAAGGAGGUUAAGUACGACGCCAAGUUCACUCUGCCUGUCAAAGAAGGGACGUGGGUUCUCCACGCCCGAGACCAAGCGCCCCUAUUCCUUGUGAAAUUCACCCCGGCCGCCUUUGGGCAAUGUUGCCUCCGUCCUGUCAGGAGCACCAACCUCUCCGACGGGUUACUGUUCACAGAGAAUGAUGGCUCCUCACUGUUUGCUUCUAGCACCCGCAGCAUCACUGUCAGUAUCAUGAAGAUAGUGCGCGACAAGCGUAAGCGUGGGAAGGCGAUGCGUCAAAGUAUGCUUCCGUUUGUGGCAGCUAGUUGA